UAAUACGUAGGUGGCAAGCGUUGUCCGGAUUUAUUGGGUUUAAAGGGUGCGUAGGCGGCCCUGUAAGUCAGUGCUGAAAUAUCCCGGCUUAACCGGGAGGGUGGCAUUGAUACUGCAGGGCUUGAGUACAGAUGAAGUAGGCGGAAUUGACGGUGUAGCGGUGAAAUGCAUAGAUAUCGUCAAGAACACCGAUAGCGAAGGCAGCUUACUAAGCUGUAACUGACGCUGAGGCACGAAAGUGUGGGGAUCAAACAGGAUUAGAUACCCUGGUAGUCCACACUGUAAACGUUGAUGACUCGAUGUUGGCGAUACACAGCCAGCGUCCAAGAGCAAUCGUUAAGUCAUCCACCUGGGGAGUACGCCGGCAACGGUG
rnacentral:rRNA from 1 species